AGACUGGUUGGCUACAUUAUUAUACAAGAUCACAUCAUCAAAUCUACGCCGUCAUCACAUACGUAUUAUAGCAUCACAUAUCUAGAGACGUACCACAUUCACAUUUAUACUCGUUUUUUAACGCUAACUAAAUGCCGCAGCGUUGUGUGUUCUUGUGGUGGUCUGGUCUGGCGUGAUGUAAUCAUUAUAUGCAUUAUUAUAGUCAAACUUAUUAUGUACACACUGCCUUAUACACCAACCAAAUACCUUAGACUUUGUUGGAGUGGUGUGGGUUGGUGAGAUCUACGACGAGAGCUGUGCGAUUUUUUGCUCCUUUUUCCAUUACAGAGUCACUCUCACUAUUUCGACUCGGCGUUGGUCGACUUCGACUUGGAGGGAGCGUCUAUAUACUUUUACAUAGUUGACUUGAUGGUGAAGUAGAUCAGCAAUAAAACAAUGGAUGUUUGUGAAGAAUUGGAUUCCGUGGAGGAGAAACAUUCCCCUGCGAUGAACACAAUUUUAUGUACAUACCCACUUUUGCAUGAUUUGCAAUUUAUUGUGCUAAAAUCGUGACGCCAUUGAUUUUGUCAUGUAGGUAAUUCAAUCCUCCCAAAUUUGUCAUUGGAAUAGCUCUUAUACUGUCAUGAUUGAAUACAAUCGAUUAAAAUUAUGCAUACAUUGAUGGCUGAUGGUCUCAUCUUCAUCUUUGUUUGUCUUGAUCUUGGAAGUGAGCUCCUGUUUUGUUUGGAUUGUUGUUAUCAUGUCUUCAUUAACAGGGUAAUUAUCAUAUCUGUUAAAAAACAAAUAACGUAAGCAAAUGGAAGAAAAGAAGAAUUAGAGGUGAUUAAGUCACUCAAUCGGACUAGGGAUGCAUUCAUACCUAUUUAUGUACAUACAUACGUAUGUACAUAGAUCUGUAUGCAAUACAAAUGUACACCAUUCUUUAAUUUCUUUAAUUCAACAUGUAAUUUAUGCGUGUUUUUAUUUUACUUCGUCAUUACGAGUUCGUGUAAAAUUCAGAAUCAUAAUAAAACUCUGGCUUGUGAUUUUCAUGCAAACAUUUUCAUACUCUAAUACUGAAUCAGAUGCUCAUGCAUUUAUGGAACAAUUCAAGUAGUACCUGUAUCAAUCCAUGUAAAUCUUAUUACUUGGUACGUAUUUAUAAUAUGCAUGCAGUUACAUAGUUUUGCAGUCAGAUAAUCACGAUGCUGUCAAACGAACCUCGUUAAUCAUAACUCCCUGUAAUUAUUUGUUAUUAAUUAUUAACAUUUGUGAUGACGUAAAAAUUCCUAUAACUUGUUGAAAACAAUACAAAAUAUUAUUUACUAUAGCUGAAAUUGUUACAAACCUCCGGUACCAAUGAUUGAAAUGAAAUAAAA